rnacentral:rRNA from 1 species
UGUACACACCGCCCGUCACGCCAUGGAAGCUGGAGGGACCCGAAACCGGUGGGCCAACCGCAAGGGGGCAGCCGUCUAAGGUCAAUUCAGUGACUGGGGCGAAGUCGUAACAAGGUAGCCGUAGGGGAACCUGCGGCUGGAUCACCUCCUU